UGGGGAAUAUUGGACAAUGGGCGGAAGCCUGAUCCAGCAACGCCGCGUGAGGGAUGACGGCCUUCGGGUUGUAAACCUCUUUCAGUACCGACGAAGCGAAAGUGACGGUAGGUACAGAAGAAGGACCGGCCAACUACGUGCCAGCAGCCGCGGUAAUACGUAGGGUCCGAGCGUUGUCCGGAAUUAUUGGGCGUAAAGGGCUCGUAGGCGGUUUGUCGCGUCGGGAGUGAAAACACGGGCUUAACUCGUUGCUUGCUUUCGAUACGGGGCAGACUAGAGGUAUGCAGGGGAGAAUGGAAUUCCUGGUGUAGCGGUGAAAUGCGCAGAUAUCAGGAGGAACACCGGUGGCGAAGGCGGUUCUCUGGGCAUUACCUGACGCUGAGGAGCGAAAGUGUGGGGAGCGAACAGGAUUAGAUACCCUGGUAGUCCACACCGUAAACGUUGGGCGCUAGGUGUGGGGUCCUUUCCACGGAUUCCGUGCCGUA
rnacentral:rRNA from 1 species